GGAACACUUAUGGUUACCUUAGCAUUGGGAACUAGUUUCAGUAUUCGAUCAGCAACUCGACAACCAUUUAGACUUCGAACAGUUGGUCCAUCCACAUUACAGAGUACAGAUUGGUCUGAGAUAUCCAAAUCUUCAGGAAUAACCAAGAGAGUUAUACUUGCAUAAAGAAGAUCAAUUGAAAUUCCUUGAAAUUUGAAUUUCAUA
rnacentral:misc_RNA from 1 species